UAACAGAACAUUGGGUGCUGAUUUAGAGCAUCUUUCUCAUGUUUGAAGCAUUCUGAUGAACAAUUCUGCAUAAUACUGAUAAUUUCUAUAGAAUCAUAAGCCUUCACUGGAUCAUGAAUUACUGGUGUCCAAAGAUAUUUACAAUUCAAGAGUGAUAGUUUCGCUCAUAAAAUGGCACUUUGAUCAUGGAACAAGCUCCCCAGCUCAUGCGGCCUUCUACUUUAUAAAACACUGCAUCAGAACCUCGAGAAUGAUGAUGAAGCAUGGCAUUUAAGCAGGCAAGAGAAGAGGGUAAGCCUUCCUGGAGGGCGUGAGAAGUCAGACAACUGCUACAUUUUGCUCCAGUUUAGGAGAUGAAAAAAGUAAAUAAUGAAAAAAGUAACCUGAUCAGUGUAACAAUAAGAUGAUAGAAGUAACCUGAACACAGCAUAAUAAUAUAUACUUAGAAUAUUACUCCUUUAUCAAAGUAAAGAAUUUCCAUUACUUCGAUUGAGGACUAUCAGAAAUGUCAUAUUUUGAUUAGAGUGGUUUCAAGGGCAGAAACAAUACAACAACAUGGCCAUCCCACCACCAGAGGCUAUCACUCUUAUAAUUAUGAAGAUUUUACAGAUGUAGAGUGUAAAACUACAGGAAGUAGUGAAGAAUUGAUGCCAUAACAACUAGAACCAGCUAAUACUCCCAAAUUUCAUUUUUUUUAAUUGUUAAGAGCACGUGAGAUGAGAGACAUAGCUAGAAAAUGACGGAAUAUGGAAACGUUUCACUCGACUCGUAUUUUAAUAUUAGCUUGGUUCAUAUUCCUUGUUUCUUAAGUCUAGAAAGAUAUCUGUUGAACAACCGUCCCAAAAGCAAUGAAUACAGCCUGGUUUUGAAUAAAAAUCUGGGUUCUUUUUAAAACAUCGAGAGUGAAGUUCAUUGUAAAUGCGUCAUGUCAAAAUCUCAGUCAACAGCAAUGUAGCAAAAGAAGCAGAGAGAAAAAAUAAAUAAAAUAUAUUGUGCUGAGAUUUAAUGGCUCGAUUUUCUC
rnacentral:lncRNA from 1 species